AGUGAACGCUGGCGGUAGGCCUAACACAUGCAAGUCGAACGGCAGCACAGUAAGAGCUUGCUCUUACGGGUGGCGAGUGGCGGACGGGUGAGGAAUACAUCGGAAUCUACUUUUUCGUGGGGGAUAACGUAGGGAAACUUACGCUAAUACCGCAUACGACCUACGGGUGAAAGCAGGGGAUCUUCGGACCUUGCGCGACUGAAUGAGCCGAUGUCGGAUUAGCUAGUUGGUGGGGUAAAGGCCCACCAAGGCGACGAUCCGUAGCUGGUCUGAGAGGAUGGUCAGCGACACUGGAACUGAGACACGGUCCAGACGCCUACGGGAGGCAGCAGUGGGGAAUAUUGGACAAUGGGCGCAAGCCUGAUCCAGCCAUACCGCGUGGGUGAAGAAGGCCUUCGGGUUGUAAAGCCCUUUUGUUGGGAAAGAAAAGCAGCAGGUUAAUACCCCGCUGUUCUGACGGUACCCAAAGAAUAAGCACCGGCUAACUUCGUG
rnacentral:rRNA from 1 species